AAGUCGUAACAAGGUUUCCGUAGGUGAACCUGCGGAAGGAUCAUUAUUGAAUGAACUUGGUGUGGUUGUCGCUGGCCCUCUUGGGGGCAUGUGCACACCUACCAUCCUCAUCUCUCCACCUGUGCACCUCUUGUAGAUUUGGAAUUGAUUAUCCGAGGCAACUCGGUCGUGAGGACUGCUAGCACUUAGCUGGCUUUCUUUGCAAUUCCAGGUCUAUGUUUUUCAUAUACCCCAUUGUAUGUAACAGAAUGUAUCAUUGGGCCCUUGUGCCUAUAAACCUUAUACAACUUUCAGCAACGGAUCUCUUGGCUCUCGCAUCGAUGAAGAACGCAGCGAAAUGCGAUAAGUAAUGUGAAUUGCAGAAUUCAGUGAAUCAUCGAAUCUUUGAACGCACCUUGCGCUCCUUGGUAUUCCGAGGAGCAUGCCUGUUUGAGUGUCAUUAAAUUCUCAACCAUUAUCAACUUUUGCUGAUAAUGGCUUGGAUGUGGGGGUCUAUUUUGCUGGCUUCUCAGAUAGUCAGCUCCCCUUAAAUGCAUUAGCCGGUGCCCCGCGUGGACUGUCUAUUGGUGUGAUAAUUAUCUACGCUAUAGACAUCUGCAAUCAUAUGGGUUUGCGCUGCUUCUAACAGUCUGUUGAUUCRGACAAUACAUGACAAUUUGACCUCAAAUCAGGUAGGACUACCCGCUGAACUUAA
rnacentral:rRNA from 1 species